rnacentral:lncRNA from 1 species
GAGUAUGAAAGUUGAAAAGGAUGUAAGUUAUUCAAAGAUAUCCACAAAACAAAAAAGUAUCAACCUGUACAUGCCAAUUUUCUGAGUGAUCUUCCCCAUAUACAUGUAGUUUAGGAUCAUCCUCUGGGAUUGCAGUACUAUCCUUUAAAACAGCCAAAGCAGGGCUGAGUAUCCAUGAGAUACGCUCAAUUUUUAGCAUAGCAUCAUCAUGCCAAUGGGACAUUGUUUUCUUAAAAAACUUGAAUUCCCUCCACUUUGUCGCUUUCCUCCAUCGUUGAGCAAAGUUUAUAAGCACAUCAUAUACAGCAGGUCCAUCAAUUCUGCAAUGCAAAUCAUGCCAUGGUUGCCUUGGAGCCUUGGUCCCUGCCUAAUGCAUGCAACCAAAAAAUAAUAAUCAAAACAGAGAAAAGAAUAAUCAAUUUUUGAGAAAAAUGCAGAAAAGAAAGGAAAAUGUUACAGAAAAAGGUCAGAGAACGCAUGUAAACAUGCAACAUGCUAAAAUGGGCUUGGUAUUCAACUUGAUUUCAAUUGAGACAGAAGGCGAGGGCCCUGCACAUAAGUUACUAAGGGACUUUUUAGAUAAUCAUAUUCAAUACUUGCAAUAGAAUGUUCAAAGUUGAAUGUACAAAAUAUAACAGUAGACAUGCUUGUUAGGGUUAAAAAAAUAUUCAAUAACUAUCAAAUACUAAAUAUUUUAUGGCAAACAACACUGAAAUACAUUAAAUCAAUCACUAACAUAUCGAUAAUAAUCUACAAAAUUUCUUAUGUCAUGGUUUAUGUUGGAAAUUAUUUUAUCACAGUUUAUAUUGUAUUAUACAGCUAUUUGUUAAUGAAGAAUUAUUUUCAAUAAUUCCAUUGCUAACAGAUUUACAUGUUACAGAUUGAGCAUUGGAGAUGAAAUACGCUUAUCUAAAUUAAGGCUAAUGACUAACACACGACCAAUACAGAGUCAAUAAAUAAGUUCCAAUUUUUCAAAAAACACAUCCAAGGUAAGAAAUCAUGAUAAUAAGAAAUAGCAAUCAAACAGCUCAUAAAACUUCUGGAAAAUAAUUACAAAAAUUAUGGAUGUCAAGAACCAUAUUUAAGUUGAAAGGUAAAUAUUCAAAAUUCAGGGACAUAAGUUUCAGUGUUCAGCCUUCAACUUUCAUUAUUAAACAGCUAAUAAAUCUCCUGAACAAACCAUAUGUUUUCCGGCUUUCCUCCCCAACUAACUACAACAUACUUGAGAGCUUGGACCACUGUAAACUACAGAUCUGCCCUUCGCUCGUCAAAAUUUAGAUCAUGUGAGUGAUAAUAGCUACUGACUAAAUAUCUAGCAGCAAAUUGUCUCCCAAAAUAUGAAAAGAUGGCUUACACUUGUUAUUUUCAGAAGAAGAAUUUAUUAGAUACUUUACAUAAACCUAAAACUCUUUCUUUCUAGAAGACUUGGUCACAAUAACAUGUGAUGAUAAAUCUGCUGUAACCCUUUUUGAUAAUUAAGUAUAAUAAUUUUGUUGUUAGUACCCACAACAUCCCACCAGCAUCAACUACACUAGCCAUUUGCCACAACCAACCAAUUUCUAUGAUCCGCAUUCCACAAGCCUAUUUCAAUGUCUGCUGAACGCAAUCAUUGUUGUUCCAAAUUCUGCAAGGAAAAACGUAGCAACAACAACAUGCCCAGUGUGAUCCCACAGGGUGAAAUGUACACAGACCUUACCCCUACCUUGUGUGAGGCAGAGAAGUUGUUUCGGAUAGACCCUUAGCUCAAGAAAAGUAGCUUCAUAAACAGAUUUGACAAAUAGAAGAGUAAAAACUAUGCUGAAAAUACUGUAGAAAAGAAAAAUACUGACAACAAGAAUAGUAAAGAUAACCCAAGUUUCAUAAAAUUCUUAGAAACAAUGUUCUAGAAAUGAAUAAAUCAGCAAGAAUAGUAAAAAUGUUUUUCGUGAAUCUACACGCAAGAGUGCUGAUCCCUUAACCACCUUCACAGUUCUGGAAAAUUAUCAACUAUGUAAAGUAAAGAAUCAUCCCAGAGACAUAUGACAGAUAUCAGAACGGUUCAGAAAAAAAUUGAGAAGAAAAACAACUCACAGGAAAUGUAGGCUGAUGAACGUCAUCUUUAAAUACAGUGUCAAGGUCACGGAAUAAGCGAUGUUCAGGUGUAUCAUAUCGACCAUCGCAGAGAUCCAGACCUCCUAAGAAUGCUGUUACUUUUCUAUUAUUACCGGGUGCCUGUGUAUCAACCAGAACACACUUCUGAUGGUGUGUAAACAUGGUUCCAACUACCUGGAAGCAAGAAUAUUCAGGUCACAAAAUCACUUCAUUGCAAUAUUGGUAGAGGGGAAAUAAAGAAUCCAGAGGUAAGGAAAUUGGCGUAAUUGAUAUUAUAUUUCAUAAAAAGAUUGAAGAGACUCUCAGAAGGGAAUAUUUAUGCCGACCAUACAAAAUAUAGCUUCACACGGCCCAUUAAAACUUCAAGUACUGCUGCUUUAGAAGAAUUAUAUUACUUUAUUCCACUCAUUCAUGGAAAUAUUUUGUCAAGCCACAGAAGGCAAGCAUUCAUAUUUAUGUUUUUCUGAUGAGACCAAGCUCUUCCUUGAUCCCUAUCUUUCUUCCGCAAACUUAUAAGAAUAUUUUCUACAAAGUCAUAAGAAGGAACACCCUCCAUCAAAUGGAACGCCUGAUUCUGAACGCAAACUAUUGAAGGCAUGGUUCAAGGGGCAAUAACUUCACAGGCACAUAGAGAAUUCAAUGAUCAGAAGAUCUCAAAGUACAUAUAAUCUAACAAAUGCGUCAAUGGUUAUGAAAGUUAACCUGUUGCUUGAUAAGGCUGAGCUUACUGCUAGCAUAACGUGGUGACAAAACGCAUAUUACAGAGGAAUGCUUAAAGAACUUCCUGGUCUCCUCGUCGUGAGUUCCCAUUACUCCCGCCUGCAUCCAAUGCCAUCUCAAACUAUUGUGAGAUUGACCAACAAGAACUACAACUAACGAUGCAGUCAUUUGAAAGCAAAUAGAGAAAAACAAUUCAUUAUAAUGUAGAUUGAGCACACCAUUAAAAUAAUAACAACUAGCAGCACUCAGACAAUAUUCUUAUCUUACAGCUAUCUGAGCACAUACUUAAAAUAACAGCCAAUAAAGUAUCCAAAAUUACUUCAAUAUAGUUUAUCAAAGAAAUCAGUAAGUAAUAGUUUAAAUAUCCAUACCGUGUUAAUAAAGAACUUAUCAUGGGAAGUUUUAUCAUCCCAAACUAACAACAGAACCCGCACCCCUUCUUGGGACUUAUAUUUAAGUAAUUCACCAAGUGUCAAGUCACCGCCGCGCGGCAAUGGCCUGGUGGGCUCUCGAACUAACUUGACUUUGUGAAAAACAGACCACCCAACAAUGUAAAUCAAGUGAUGAGCCUCUGUAAUUGCAUAACAUAUAUCUUCCCAGCAUUUGUUGUGUUCAAAGGUUGUAUUGUUUUCCAACUGGAUUUCCGGCAGCUUAAACUUAUCGCUAACGUGAGCAUCUUGGUAUAGCUUCACUGAACUCCCUUUUCUCAAUGGGAAGUACGCAUUCCUUACCCCUAAAUACUGAGGAUCUGAAGCAAUUCCUCGCUUAUACAAUGGGUUUGUAUCAUAUGGAACGAAUUUCAUCCAUAACCGGAGAGCCGUGUCGGGUUUUGGAGAUUUCCCUGAAGCACCAAUGACGGGAAACCAGCCGGAAACCACCUCACCGGAGGCUAUCUUUUCCGCCGGAAUUGUAACUUUACCCAUAACUUGAGCUCCGAAAACAUCAUCAUCUUUAACGCGAAAAUCCAAGCAGUCCAUAGGGUGUGCUAAAGGGAUACGGAAAUGCUCAUCCCAAACAGGGUUUUGUGAAUUGGGUAGAACACGUGUACGGGCAAGAGCAGUAUGGGGUGCACACACAGUAACAUAUGGGUCACUAGUGAUUAUGCUCCGGUGGUGGAUUUUCUGGUCGGUGCUUUUCACAUUGGGUAGUUCGCCGUUUCCGUCGUCGGCAGUGGAUUCAGUUUGAGGUUUCCGGCAGACAUCACAGGCGGUGAAGCACCGGCGUAUACGCUCAGAAGUUAAGUCCAUGUUGGGUAAAUGACGGGCUUGAAUGAUGUGAAGCUCCAAAUCUCCAUGUAAACAGAUGAAGUUUUCCUGAGAUGAAUUUUCUGCCAUCUUCACAGAGAAGAAGAAGAAAGGGUGUGUUGAAGAUAGAAAUUGCAGAAGAGAAAAUGGGGUGGCGUCACGUUGUGAUGAAUAACUGCAAGUUGUUGGCUUUUGCUGAGAUUUUACCACUCCGAACAGGUGACACCAUAGCGGUGGAGGUUAAGGUAUAGCCAUUUACAAAUGGGAUCAAGCAGACAUUUUAUUUGGGGAAAAAAAGUAUUUUUGUAAUUGAAAAUAUUUCUUUAAAAAAAAAAAGAGUCAAAAUCACAUUUUGAAAAUUUGGAACUCAUUUUCAAGAAUAUUUUCCUUGUAUUUAGCAAAAGGGAGGUAAAAUCGUAUGUCAGAAAUUUAGAACUCGACAUAUUAUUCCCUUCUAUCAAAAAUAAUAUUCAUUUUACUUGUUCAUUUUUAAUUUAAAAGAAAAAUUUUGUUCAUGUACUAUUUUUAAUAUUAAAUAACUAUAUAAAAUAGUAAUAGUCAUUAACAAAAUUAAUAUAAUAAAAUAUACCUUUGAUUAAAUAAAAAAUAUAAGGAGUAUGUGAGAUUAAUAUGACACGGAAAAGGAAUCGUAUAUAGGUUUUAUCAUCGUUAUUUUUUUAUGGUAAUUAAAGUUACAUAUUAAGACGUUAUUUUAUAGUAAUUUUUAGGUAGAACAUGCCUUUUUUAUUUUACAAUUACUAAAUGCAUUUAUGACUAACAAGUAAAGUAAAACUUGAACUUAAUGAUUUAUUAAAGUAGUCCAUAAUAAUUUUUAAGAAAAAAACUUCACAUAUCAUGUUAGUAUGAUUUCUUAUAAUAUUUAACUAGACAAGUUAAAAGGAUAAAACUAAAAACAGUUUUCAUUAGACAAAUAAUAGGAGUACAUAACAAACUAAAUUCACAAGGCAGCAUAUUAUCACAGUUAAUUUAGAAGGCAUAUAAGUCGCAUUUUUUAUAUUUUUUUAUUUAUAAAAGUUGUAUAUUUCUGGAAUUUUAUGGUGGCACAUCUUGAGAGAGAGAAAAAUCCAUUGAUUUGGUGGUUGUAGAAACUGAUUUUAUGAUAAUAUUUUACUUAAGAGGGUUUGGCCGACACUUUCUAUUGGACCAAUUUUGUGGAGAUCGAUCAUCAAGAUUUGUGUGUGGCUAACUUUCUUGUAGCUAAAGAAAUAGUGUAGAGGCUAAAUAAGUAUUAGCUUUACAGAAACCAAAAUGAAUUAACAAGUAAAGUAGAUAAUAUUCUUCCCUUCUCCUGUCAUUUCUAAUAGCAACACUUAAAGCCUCUACUUUACAGACCAAAAGUUGUUAAAUUAGAACAACUCCUUUUUCUUUUCUUUUUUUUUUUGCUUAUUAAUUAUUGAUUUGAAUACACAUUUUAGUGGGGGUGAACUCGAUAACAAUAAUGUCACUCCAGUUGGGUGAUAAAAUUCAUGAUGAACAACGACAUCUCCUACUCUCCUAGUUUUAGUUAUUAUAUGCAAACAGUGAUGUUUCCAAACUAAAAAAAAAAAAAAAAACAUGUCAGGUCUCUUAAUAGUUCAUUAGUACAAUCUAUCUAAUAAAAAAUAAACAUAUAUGCACAAUCCAAUUCUUGGUAGUACAGGUUACUUCACUUAAUUCUAAAGCAGACAAUAUAAUCGCUUUCCACGUAACUGCCUUUGAUUUUGACAUAAAUAAUAUGCUUGUCUUCAUUUGAGAAUUCUACAUUUAACUAGGCAUCUGCGUGAGUCGGGUAAUCCAACUAAUUGCGCGAGACGUGGCACUACUCAAAUUCCAACGAAUUUCAUAUAUAUAUUCAUUGUUACACUUGCUAAGCUUGCAUUGCUACUUCAUGUGGGUCAGCAGUUUAACCGGCCGGGAUAGAGUCACAACACUUGUUUAGAUUAUCUAUCCCACAUGAAAAGCAAAAGAAGAAAAAACAUCUGUAUCUAAAACAACACUCUCAUCUACAUCUGAAUGUUCUCUCACUUGAACAAAGAUUUCACUUGUUAUCUUAACCAAAGCGAGUAUAACACAAGAGACGACCAAGUCUAUACAUAAAAGCAUCAGAAACAGUAAAAGAGUAACCAUUGGAAUCUUCUUUUAUUCGAAAACACCAAAGUUCUCAGACUACUUAAAAAGUAGGAACCACGUUUUCUGCAUCUAUAUAAUCCCAAAGUAUUCUAGACUGGAAAAGAGAAACCCAGAAACUAGAACAAAACCUGCAUUCUUCGAAAAAUAUUAUACAGCAAUCUUACGCCUUCAGAAAGCACAGUAAUGACUAAUAAGCCACUCAAAGUAAAUACAACUUUAUUCCCUAAUGAUCAACCAGCCUUGUCAUCUUUGACACUCUUGUUGUCUCUCUCACUUACACGUGGGGUGUACUGGCUAGUAGAUGAUGGUGAAUACCCAGGAGCACUUGGUGAGUACCCUGCACUUGGACUGAAGAAAAAAUAGAUUUUAGAAACGAACAUAAAUCACACUGCAAGACGUUCUAGAGAAGUAAAAGCCAACUAACCUGUACUGGGGAGAACUGGGACUAUAAUCUGGGCUUGUACCUGAGUUGUUGUAUGGGCUGAUUUGGGGGGGCAAAAAAAAGAGAGAAUUAUUUCAAAAAAGAUCAGGUAAUAGUGCUCAUUAAAUUCAACAUGCAGCAAAAGGCAUUGAAACUAAAAAGGAGGAACAAUAUAAGUUCCACAAAGAUUUCAGGUAGUAAAUCAAAUACAGAAACCCGUGCACAUCACUUACCUGCUGGGACUAUAGGUUGGGCUUGAAGGAGAAUAUGAUGGAGAUGUUGGAGAGUACGAUGGUGAUGUGGGACUGCAAACACAAGACCACAUUUAAUCACAUCAUUAGUAAUAUAUCUAGAGCGGGUCUGGAAUCCACCAAUACAAAAACCCAACAACUUCAGAAACUAACUAGUUAUUAUGAAGCUGAAACCAGAUAUAAGUUAGGUAAAGUGACCUAAUUAAGAAGAUUAAGGCGCUACUAAAGUCACUGUAUUAUUAUCAAACAGAACCAAAUUAAGAACCUUUUCUGUCUCAGCAGAAGAAUCAAAGACACAUGUAUCAAACCAAGGUUGUUUACCUGUAACUUGGAGAUGACGGGCUGUAUGGACUAGAAGGAGACAGCUUCGGGCUGGUUGGCGAAUAUGCAAGGGAGGGGCUGUAUCUCGCCGAGGGAUUGUAACUUGGUGAUGUAGGACUGUAGGAUGGUGAUGUUGGGCUAUAGCUGGGAGAUGUUGGGCUGUAACCAGGGGAGGUAGGACUGUAUGCAGGAGAAGUUGGACUAUAUGAUGGAGAAGUCGGACUAUAAGAGGGUGAGGUGGGGCUAUAUGAAGGUGAUGUGGGGCUGUAAGAAGGUGAAGUGGGGCUGUAAGAUGGCGAAGUGGGGCUGUAUGCCGGAGAAGUGGGGCUGUAGGCCGGAGAAGUGGGGCUGUAUGCCGGAGAAGUAGGGCUGUAGCUAGGUGAUGUUGGGCUAUAGCUAGGCGAGGUUGGGCUAUAGCUUGGAGAUGUUGGACUAUAACUGGGUGAUGUGGGUGAGUAUGAAGGACUGGUUGGAGAAUAUGCUGGACUUGUCGGGCUGUAGCCAGGGGAGCUGGGGCUAUAAGUGGGGGAAGUGGGGCUGUAACCAGGAGAUGUGGGGCUGUAACCGGGGGAAGUGGGGCUGUAUCCUGGAGAGGUCGGGCUGUAACCAGGGGAUGAUGGGCUGUAACCAGGGGAUGAUGGACUGUAACCAGGGGAUGAAGUAGGAGAG